rnacentral:rRNA from 1 species
CCUACGGGUGGCAGCAGUGGGGAAUUUUGCGCAAUGCUCGUAAGAGUGACGCAGCGACGCAGCGUGAAUGAUGAAGGCCUUCGGGUCGGAAAACUCUUUUGACAGGGAAGAAAAUGCCUACAAGUAACGGUGUAUGCAGUUACGGUACCUGUAAAAGCAGCCCCGGCUAACUCCGGGCCAGCAGCCGAGGUAAAACGGAGGGGGCGAGCGGUGUUCGGUGUGGCUGGGCGUAAAGAGCACGUAGGCGGUGUUGUAAGUCCUUAAUCAAAGACUAGAGGCGAACCUUAGUAAGGCAAGUGAUACUGUAAGACUUGAGUAUCAGAGAGGAAUGCGGAAUUCGUGGUGUAGCGGUGAAAUGCGUAGAUAUCAGGAGGAAUACCGAUAGCGAAGGCAGCAUUCUGGCUGGAAACUGACGCUGAGGUGCGAAAGCGUGGGUAGCAAACAGGAUUAGAUACCCUGGUAGUC